GACGUAGGGCGCGAGCGUUGUCCGGAUUAUUGGGCGUAAAGAGCUCGUAGGCGGCUUGUUGCGUCAGCUGUGAAAACCCGCAGCUCAACUGUGGGCUUGCAGCUGAUACGGGCAGGCUUGAGUUCGGUAGGGGAGACUGGAAUUCCUGGUGUAGCGGUGAAAUGCGCAGAUAUCAGGAGGAACACCAAUGGCGAAGGCAGCACUCUGGGACGCGACUGGACGCUGAAGACGCGGAAAGCGUGGGGGAGCAAA
rnacentral:rRNA from 1 species